GACGAACGCUGGCGGCGUGCCUAAUACAUGCAAGUAGAACGCUGAAGGAGGAGCUUGCUUCUCUGGAUGAGUUGCGAACGGGUGAGUAACGCGUAGGUAACCUGCCUGGUAGCGGGGGAUAACUAUCGGAAACGAUAGCUAAUACCGCAUAAGAGUAGAUGUCGCAUGACAUUUGCUUAAAAGGUGCAAUUGCAUCACUACCAGAUGGACCUGCGUUGUAUUAGCUAGUUGGUGAGGUAACGGCUCACCAAGGCAACGAUACAUAGCCGACCUGAGAGGGUGAUCGGCCACACUGGGACUGAGACACGGCCCAGACUCCUACGGGAGGCAGCAGUAGGGAAUCUUCGGCAAUGGACGGAAGUCUGACUGAGCAACGCCGCGUGAGUGAAGAAGGGUUUCGGAUCGUAAAGCUCUGUUGUAAGAGAAGAACGAGUGUGAGAGUGGAAAGUUCACACUGUGACGGUAUCUUACCAGAAAGGGACGGCUAACUACGUG
rnacentral:rRNA from 1 species